AUGGCCGCCACGGCAGCGGCCGCCCCCCCGCCCCCUCAGCCCCUCGCCGGCCCUGGCGUGACGCCCCCCCACCUCCGCGGCGCCGCCCGCCCGAGCUCGUCCGCGGAAAGGAACGAGGAGGAGAAAGAUCGCUGCUCCGGGGCGGAUCUUCGCCGGCGGCUGGUUCCCCGGGGGGUUUCUUCCGGCUCUCGAUCCCUCGCCGCGGUCGCCGCCCGGGCGCGCGUCCUGCUCUCCUGCGCGGGGCCCUUCCGCCUCCACGGCCGCCAGGUGGCCGCGGCCUGCGCCGAGGCGGGGGCCGACUGCCUCGACAUCUCCGGCGAGCCCGAGUUCAUGGAGCGCGUCGAGGCCGACCUCCACGAGGUCGCCGCCAAGAACGGGUCGCUGAUUGUCUCCGCCUGCGGGUUUGACUCCAUCCCCGCGGAGCUCGGGUUCUUGUUCAACUCCAGGCAGUGGACGCCGCCCUCCGCGCCGCUCGGUCUCGUCGGCGUCAACUGCUGA
rnacentral:rRNA from 1 species